GAAAUAUAAAAAAGUAAGCUUCUAACUUAACUAAAAAGCAUUAACAUGUUUGUAUUUCU
rnacentral:tRNA from 1 species